GCUAGUCUAGUGGUUAUGACGUCUGCCUUACACGCAGAAGGUCGCGGGUUCGAUCCCCGCGCU
rnacentral:tRNA from 1 species